GACGCGUGGCGCAGCGGGUAGCGCCGUUGCCUUUCAAUUUUUCAUCGCGGGUUCGAACCCCACCAGGUGCCA